rnacentral:rRNA from 1 species
UGACUNGAGUGCAGAAGGGGAGAGUGGAAUUCCAUGUGUAGCGGUGAAAUGCGUAGAUAUAUGGAGGAACACCAGUGGCGAAAGCGGCUCUCUGNUCUGUCACUGACGCUGAGGCUCGAAAGCGUGGGUAGCGAACAGGAUUAGAUACCCUGGUAGUNCACGCCGUAAACGAUGAGUGCUAGGUGUUAGGCCCUUUCCGGGGCUUAGUGCCGGAGCUAACGCAAUAAGCACUCCGCCUGGGGAGUACGACCGCAAGGUUGAAACUCAAAGGAAUUGACGGGGGCCCGCACAAGCGGUGGAGCAUGUGGUUUAAUUCGAAGCAACGCGAAGAACCUUACCAGGUCUUGACAUCCCGAUGCUAUUCUUAGAGAUAGGAAGUUACUUCGGUACAUCGGAGACAGGUGGUGCAUGGUUGUCGUCAGCUCGUGUCGUGAGAUGUUGGGUUAAGUCCCGCAACGAGCGCAACCCUUAUUGUUAGUUGCCAUCAUUAAGUUGGGCACUCUAGCGAGACUGCCGGUAAUAAACCGGAGGAAGGUGGGGAUGACGUCAAAUCAUCAUGCCCCUUAUGACCUGGGCUACACACGUGCUACAAUGGUCGGUACAACGAGUUGCGAGCCGGUGACGGCAAGCUAAUCUCUGAAAGCCGAUCUCAGUUCGGAUUGGAGGCUGCAACUCGCCUCCAUGAAGUCGGAAUCGCUAGUAAUCGCGGAUCAGCACGCCGCGGUGAAUACGUUCCCGGGCCUUGUACACACCGCCCGUCACACACGAGAGUUUGUAACACCCGAAGUCGGUGAGGUAACC